rnacentral:lncRNA from 1 species
AUUUAAUUCAGAUUGUUGGCGACAUAGCUCAUGUAUUAAAGUCUUCUGUCACAGUUGACUCAGCAAGAUUGAAGACAUUGAUACACUUUUGCAUUAUGGAAUACACAAGUUGGCAGUUCCUCGUCCACUGCCACCCAAAUACAGGUAUAAAAAAUCCUUAUCUGUACGUAACAGACGAUGGAGACGAAGUGAUUAUUAUGUGUGGCAAAAGAUUAUUUUAUGAA